rnacentral:rRNA from 1 species
UACGGAGGGGGCUAGCGUUGUUUGGAAUUACUGGGCGUAAAGCGCACGUAGGCGGCUUUGUAAGUUAGAGGUGAAAGCCCAGGGCUUAACCCUGGAAUUGCCUUUAAGACUGCAUCGCUAGAAUUGUGGAGAGGUAAGUGGAAUUCCGAGUGUAGAGGUGAAAUUCGUAGAUAUUCGGAAGAACACCAGUGGCGAAGGCGGCUCACUGGACGACUGUUGACGCUGAGGUGCGAAAGCGUGGGGAGCAAACAGG